rnacentral:tRNA from 1 species
CGGGCUGUGGCGUAGUCUGGUAACGCGCUACACUGGGGGUGUAGAGAUCGCAGGUUCAAAUCCUGUCAGCCCGA